AAUUAACUGCCACCGGGUAGGAAAUGCAAAAAGCAUUCGUUUGUGCGUCGUUAGGUCUUUGAAGACGCACGCACGGAUGCUUUUUUUGA
rnacentral:ncRNA from 1 species